GUUUGAAGCUGCCUCGACCUGCUUCCUAAUCCUGUUUGAGAAACCUUUAUGUUUCCUGCUCAAACCUGCCUCAUGGUUGCCUGUGACCUACAUCGUAAUCCUGUUUGAGAAACCUUUAUGUUUCCUGCUCAAACAGGAUCUAUUUAUGCUACCUCGUUGUGUUUAUGGACUAUGGCCUUACUAUAUUGCUGAAGCAACUCCUUGGGUGUAUUUGGAAUGAAAUCUUCAUGCUGACCAGACAUCCAAGUUUAGGACAUCAUCAUCAGCCCUCAUAACUCUGCUCAUCUAUAGAUAGGACUGGUUUUCUUUAUUUUAUGAACUGUUUUUGAUCUCAACCUGCAGUGGACUGUGCUGGACAUUUCAGUUCCACACACACACACACUCUCAUUGAAAACUUGUUGAAUAGUAUGUAAAUGACUUGCAAUAUUUGGGGUUUGUGUCUGACAAAAUGUGUAUAUUGUUUGAAAACAUGCUGAAUGAAACACC